rnacentral:rRNA from 1 species
AGUGAACGCUGGCGGUAGGCCUAACACAUGCAAGUCGAGCGGCAGCACAGUAAGAGCUUGCUCUUACGGGUGGCGAGUGGCGGACGGGUGAGGAAUACAUCGGAAUCUACUUUUUCGAGGGGGAUAACGUAGGGAAACUUACGCUAAUACCGCAUACGACCUACGGGUGAAAGCAGGAGAUCUUCGGACCUUGCGCGAUUGAAUGAGCCGAUGUCGGAUUAGCUAGUUGGCGGGGUAAAGGCCCACCAAGGCGACGAUCCGUAGCUGGUCUGAGAGGAUGAUCAGCCACACUGGGACUGAGACACGGUCCAGACUCCUACGGGAGGCAGCAGUGGGGAAUAUUGGACAAUGGGCGCAAGCCUGAUCCAGCCAUACCGCGUGGGUGAAGAAGGCCUUCGGGUUGUAAAGCCCUUUUGUUGGGAAAGAAAAGCAGUAGGUUAAUACCCCGCUGUUCUGACGGUACCCAAAGAAUAAGCACCGGCUAACUUCGUG